rnacentral:rRNA from 1 species
CAGCCGCCGCGGGAAUACGUAGGGUGCGAGCGUUAAUCGGAAUUACUGGGCGUAAAGCGUGCGCAGGCGGUUAUAUAAGACAGAUGUGAAAUCCCCGGGCUCAACCCGGGACCUGCAUUUGUGACUGUAUAGCUAGAGUACGGUAGAGGGGGAUGGAAUUCCGCGUGUAGCAGUGAAAUGCGUAGAUAUGCGGAGGAACACCGAUGGCGAAGGCAGCCCCCUGGGCCAACACUGACGCUCAUGCACGAAAGCGUGGGGAGCAAACAGGAUUAGAUACCCCUGUAGUCCCUGUCUCUUAUAC